GUGGAUUGGGACACUGGUGCUGGCACCCACUUGCUUAUUUGCUGAGGCUUUUUGGUCCUUCUUGUUCCUCAGAGAAAGUGUGUUUGCUUCAAAACAGGUUACCAAGCAACGGCUUCAGGCAAAUCACCUCAGAUCUGCUCUCCAUUCCCCCAGGGUUGUGGGGGUCCGAAGCACAAGCAGAUGUCUGGAGGGAGCUAUUACUCACAUCCUCCCCUUCUUAAUUUCCCCUUCUUAAUUUCGCUCGGUGGCAGUAGCAGCAGUCACAGACCAAUCUCUAUCACUUCAGGAAAGAAGGGGGCAGAAACAGGUAAGAAACUGGCAAUAAAAGGGCAAUAGGAAGAAAGCUUUAAUCUAAGCCUUUGCCAACUGUGGUGAGGACAAACCCACUCUGUUUUGUUCAAAAGGUAUUCUUUGGAAGGAAAAAAAAAUUAGAUAUGUUGAAAGGAAAGAACAUUAAAAAGGGAUUCUGGUGUUUUUAUCCAGAUCACUCAGCCUCUAGUUCUGAAAUUCUCCUAAGAGCUCUUGCUAGAAGUCAGAGUUCCUUCAACAGAAAAGAAGAAAAGAAAAAAAUUAAGGGGGAAGUGGUGAGAUAAUUAGGUAGGAACACACGCUUAUAAGUUCUAUCCCCAAAAUACAGAGUGUGAAUAAUUAUAUAAGGAGAUGAAAUAUGAGUAAAUAUGGAUAUUACAACCUUCUUUGAAAUUAGGCCUUAUACUGUUUAAUGUCAUUUUAAUAAUCUUGUGGUUUAUUCUAUAAUGUAUUUUCCAAAUUGCUGUAGAAAGCCUGAAGGCACAUGUACAAUGAAAUCAUUCAGCAAAGUUUUUUAAACAAUU
rnacentral:lncRNA from 1 species